CGCACAUUGCGCCCUCUAGUAUUCUGGUGGGCAUGCCUGUUCGAGCGUCGUUAACACCCCUCAAGCCUAGCUUGGUGUUGGGGCCCUGUAUUCCGGUACAGGCCCUCAAAACUAGUGGCAGGACCGCAGUGGACCUGGGCGUAGUAACACUACCCGCCUCGGGCUCCGCCGCGUGGCCUGCCGUAAAGCAGGUCGCCUCUGGCGACUGUAUCAUCAAGUUGACCUCGGAUCAGGUAGGAAUACCCGCUGAACUUAA
rnacentral:misc_RNA from 1 species